UACAGAGGGGGCAAGCGUUGUUCGGAAUUACUGGGCGUAAAGGGCGCGUAGGCGGCCUGUUAUGUCGAACGUGAAAUCCCCGGGCUCAACCCGGGAACUGCGUCCGAUACCGGCAGGCUUGAAUUCGGGAGAGGGAUGUGGAAUUCCAGGUGUAGCGGUGAAAUGCGUAGAUAUCUGGAGGAACACCGGUGGCGAAGGCGGCAUCCUGGACCGAUAUUGACGCUGAUGCGCGAAAGCCAGGGGAGCAAACGGG
rnacentral:rRNA from 1 species